UCAUCCUGGGGCUGAAGCAGGUCCCAAGGGUAUGGCUGUUCGCCAUUUAAAGAGGUACGCGAGCUGGGUUUAGAACGUCGUGAGACAGUUCGGUCCCUAUCUACCGUGGGCGCUGGAAAUUUGAGAGGAUCUGCUCCUAGUACGAGAGGACCAGAGUGGACGAACCUCUGGUGUACCGGUUGUGACGCCAGUCGCAUCGCCGGGUAGCUAUGUUCGGAAGGGAUAACCGCUGAAAGCAUCUAAGCGGGAAGCCUACCUCAAGAUAAGAUUUCCCUAGGACUUUAUGUCCUCUAAAGAGCCGUUCGAGACUAGGACGUUGAUAGGUUGGAUGUGGAAGCAUAGUGAUAUGUGAAGCUGACCAAUACUAAUUGCUCGUGAGGCUUGACUAUACAACACCCAAGCAGUUG
rnacentral:rRNA from 1 species